rnacentral:tRNA from 2 species
GAUGUGGUGGCUCAAUGGUAGAGCUUUCGACUCCAGCAUAAUCGAAGGGUUGCAGGUUCAAUUCCUGUCCAUGUCA